AUUGAACGCUGGCGGCAGGCCUAACACAUGCAAGUCGAACGAGUGGCGGACGGGUGAGUAAUGUCUGGGAAACUGCCUGAUGGAGGGGGAUCACUACUGGAAACGGUAGCUAAUACCGAAUACUGAUGGAUGGCCCCGCGGUGCAUUAGCUAGUGGGUGAGGUAACGGCUCACCUAGGCGACGAUCCCUAGCUGGGCUGAGAGGAUGACCAGCCACACUGGAACUGAGACACGGUCCAGACUCCUACGGGAGGCAGCAGUGGGGAAUAUUGCACAAUGGGCGCAAGCCUGAUGCAGCCAUGCCGCGUGUAUGAAGAAGGCCUUCGGGUUGUAAAGUACUUUCAGCGGGGAGGCGUUACCCGCAGAAGAAGCACCGGCUAACUCCGUGCCAGCAGCCGCGGUAAUAC
rnacentral:rRNA from 1 species